CCCCCUCGUGGGGAAGGUAGAAGGUGGGGUCUGCCGGACGCGUGUUCCUGCCACCAGGUGCCCGCUCCCCGCGAGGCCGGCUCAGGAGCAGGUAGAAUGUAAACAAUUGAAAAAAAUCCCUUCCCAAUCAGAAUACCACCCACAGGACAACGAAGAAAACCUAUCUUCAGUCCCCACCCACGAAAUGCUGGGGGGUGGGGAGGACUGGAAAAGGAGUAAGGGGAGAGGAAGGGUGAGCAGCUGCAAGAAGUCUUUACACCUCUCUGCGGUUCCUGGUAAACGCGCUCAUGUCCUGGGUAUGGAAGGGACUUAAGAAUUCAGGAAAGAUCAAAAUAACGGGCCUCUUCCCCACUCCCUCGCCCUCCCUUCCCCGCUGCUGGGGGGUUAGGGAGGCUCCGUGGAGCUCCAGCACUCUAGAAGGAUCGGGUGAGGCGCGAGGCCUUGCGGGCGGGUGAACCCAAGGUGGGGUGGAAGGCUCCAACCCGCCCAAUCUGAGCCCGAGGCCUGCUGAGAAGCAUGGGGGCCUUGGGAUAGUUCCAGAAUGAGGAUGUGCGUUUCUAGCUGCUUUGCGCCCUCCUCCCCCAAAAAUCUGCUACCACAAUUCCAACCCGGCGGCACGCCCCCAAGACUCCUUUGUCGCCCCAGGGGCGGGACCUGAGCUGUCGAUUUCAGGAGCCCUUCGUGACUUCAAAAGUCCUGGGCACUGUUGCUCAUGAGUGCUGCACAACUGUCGCCCUCUAAAGCCACCUCCAUCCCUCACUGGGCUGGCCUCCUGAGCCUUCGGUGAGGAAACGGGGUUCCGAGUUGCCCGCCUGAGAGCUUAACAGUCUGACUAGAAAAGGGCUAAUUCGCUUUCUGUGCAAAUCUCUUGAGCUAAUUAUUUAAUCUGAAACAUGGACAGGUAAAGGACCAUUGGGCCGGCGGGGACCCUCAGGCUCCCGGGGCGCCGCCCACCAGCCCGACCCGGCGGCCUAGAAAUCCCCAUUCUGCUCCCGCCUCGCCCCGGCCGGCCAGCGCAGGGCCCCUCAGGCCCGCAAUCUCCAGGCUCAAACGGCGAACAGGUCCCCGCAUCCGCCUGCCUUUGCACUUGGGGGUGGGAGAGCCACCUUGUGACGCCCCUUCUGCCUCUCACCAGCUUCCCCCUUUCUCCCCGUCCUGUACGGUUCCCCCUGGAGCCAGAAGGAAGCCCGGUGCCAGCCAGCCUUCCUGAAAGACCAAGCCCGCGCCAUCCGGCUUCCUCCAGUGGACGCCUGCAGGACCCAGGUGAGACACGGAACCGGUUGGGGACGCGAGCCAGGGAUCCUGACCGGUUGGGGGCGGCGAGCAAGGGAUCCUGACUUGGGGGCGUUGCCUCCCGGAAUCCAAGCGGCCUUUUGCCCGGGUCUCCCGAGAUGCAUCGAAAUUGAGCUCGUCCACACAGCCCCCUGACUGCGUGAUGCCCUUUUCUGACUUAAAACAUUCCUUGUACCUUUAUUUACACGAUCCAAGUUGCAGUGUGCCUAGAUUUUCCUCCAAGGACAAAAAUGUGAAUAAAGCAAUAUUUUAGCCAAACAUUUCUGUGUCAAUUAAGAAGAUUGCAAUUCGUUCCAGACUAUAAAUUCUCUUUAACAACUCCCUAAGGUAUUCUUUUAAAUUGUUUUUCAGCGUUGCUAAAUGUGCAUCAUAAUGUGUGGGAGACUUGUAUAAAGUGAAUCAAUUUAUACUCAGCUGAUUAAUUGACCCGAUGUUACCACCUCCAAGGAGGC
rnacentral:lncRNA from 1 species